rnacentral:rRNA from 1 species
UGGGGAAUUUUGGACAAUGGGCGAAAGCCUGAUCCAGCAAUGCCGCGUGUGUGAAGAAGGCCUUCGGGUUGUAAAGCACUUUUGUCCGGAAAGAAAUCCUUGGCUCUAAUACAGUCGGGGGAUGACGGUACCGGAAGAAUAAGCACCGGCUAACUACGUGCCAGCAGCCGCGGUAAUACGUAGGGUGCAAGCGUUAAUCGGAAUUACUGGGCGUAAAGCGUGCGCAGGCGGUUUGCUAAGACCGAUGUGAAAUCCCCGGGCUCAACCUGGGAACUGCAUUGGUGACUGGCAGGCUAGAGUAUGGCAGAGGGGGGUAGAAUUCCACGUGUAGCAGUGAAUGCGUAGAGAUGUGGAGGAAUACCGAUGGCGAAGGCAGCCCCCUGGGCCAAUACUGACGCUCAUGCACGAAAGCGUGGGGAGCAAACAGGAUUAGAUACCCUGGUAGUCCACGCCCUAAACGAUGUCAACUAGUUGUUGGGGAUUCAUUUCCUUAGUAACGUAGCUAACGCGUGAAGUUGACCGCCUGGGGAGUACGGUCG